UACGUAGGGGGCGAGCGUUGUCCGGAUUUAUUGGGCGUAAAGAGCUCGUAGGCGGUUUGGUAAGUUGGAUGUGAAAUCUCCAGGCUCAACUUGGAGGGGUCAUUCGAUACUGCCAUGACUAGAGUUCGGUAGGGGAGUGUGGAAUUCCUGGUGGAGCGGUGAAAUGCGCAGAUAUCAGGAGGAACACCCGUAGCGAAGGCGGCACUCUGGGCCGGAACUGACGCUGGAGGAGCGAAAGCGUGGGGAGCGAACAGG
rnacentral:rRNA from 1 species